rnacentral:rRNA from 1 species
UAACGUAGGGAAACUUACGCUAAUACCGCAUACGACCUACGGUGAAAGCAGGGAUCUUCGGACCUUGCGCGAUUGAAUGAGCCGAUGUCGGAUUAGCUAGUUGGCGGGGUAAAGGCCCACCAAGGCGACGAUCCGUAGCUGGUCUGAGAGGAUGAUCAGCCACACUGGAACUGAGACACGGUCCAGACUCCUACGGGAGGCAGCAGAG